CACGCUUCCUCGUUUCGUCAUCUACGUUCAAUCGCUGCUCCAACCUCUCCAAUACGCUCAUACGGUUUCGGAUCUCAGUCACCGUACCUUUGAGAUCCUCCAUCGUACUCUCCAUCGCUCCGAUCUUACUCAUCUCCUCUCUCAGGUUCUCCACCACCGCCUCGACAUCAGAUUUCUUCCCUGGCGCCAUCUCUUCCCAGUAAAGAAAAUAGGCUCUGAUACCAAGUUGUUAUGUGAUACUUUUGAGAAAGAGAAAUGUUAUUGAUCUGAGAAAAGUUCUACAAGACUUGAGAGAAUUAUAUCCUGGGAUCUCUCCUUCCCUUUACAAGUUUGAUCAAACCUCUUGAUAUCUCUCACGUAACAACUCUCUCUCUAUAAAUAAAAGACGGAAAGCAAAAGCACACAUCACGUGGGCCGUUAGUCGUUAGCCGUUAACUCCAGCACACCAACGACGUUUAUUCCUCAUUCCUCGUAAAGCAUCCAUUCAAGACGUCACACGUGACACGUCCCCAUCCUCCAAAGAUUCUUGUCGAUCCAACUGAUCCUUUCCCUUUCUCUUUCUGCCGUACGUGUACAGUAUCGGAGGGCGUCGAGCCUCACUGCUAACAAGAACAUUAAGCUGACAACUUAUUAAUCAAACAGAUUUAAAUCAAAGACGAGUCACAAGGAUGCUUGUCUCUAUGAUUAACAGCCAAAGGAUUAGAGCUGACAACUGAUUGAACUCCCGCUAAUUAACCAUAACCAGAUCUCGCCGCGGAGUGAAGAUCAUCCGCCGAUCCUCCUUCCUCAUCUCGUCCUUUUUCAUUUUCAGUGCUCCUCCUCCGUCUCUCUGUUUCUCUCUUGCAUGGCGCCAUGGCGGUUGGGCUGAAAUUCAAACGGGCCGGGUUUAACCGUGUAAAAUUUUGAGCUUGGCCCAAGCUAAGCCCAUUUUAUGCAACAUAUCUCAUUCUCCACGGACCUUUGAAAAAAUAAAGAAAAUUCUAUAAGUAAAGUAAUUAGAAAUAUUCUAAUUUUAAUUAGAAAUAUUCUAUAAUCGUAUCAAACACACAUUAUUUUUCCAAAAAUCAACAAAUUUAAAAAAAAAAUUUCAAACCAACGUUAAUUCUUUUUUGAAAAAAUAUUAUUUUAUAUUUAAAUUUGGGUUUAGUAAUUAGAGAACGAGGGUUAAGGUAAUCUUUAUAUAUAUAAUAACGUUUGCCUCUCUCACGUUCGUCCACGUAGGCAUCCACGUAGGAAAGUCGAACGCUCUCUUGCCGCCACGUGUCACUUACUUAAACGCUUCGUACCAUUCUUUUCUCCUCCGCAAUCCGUUCUUAUUCUGCCUGAACAUUUUGCAUUAUUAAGCCCAUAGAAUAUUUUAUUAGAGCGUGAUAUGAUAUAUCGCGAAACGGUGCGUUUCGUAUUCUGUCUUUCAUCUGUCUCCCAUCUCCGCCGUAGGCGAUUUAGGGUUUCCAUCGAAACUGAGUAUUCUUCCUCCUGAUCCAGCGAUCAAUCGGCGCCGUAUCGACUAUACGCUUUCCAGCGAACUGUUCAUCUUCUUUUUACUGAUCAAGUAAUCAAUCGGUUAGGGAAACAUUGCUAUUGAAUUCCCUCUUUAAAUCCACCUUCCACGAUCUCUCUUCAAUUCCACUUUAGCUCUUCAAAGGCGACUGGUGGUUCCACUAUAAAAAGGUUAGCAUCUCUACAAUCUAUAGCAUCCUAUCAAUCUAUUAAAACAAAACAAUCUCCUUAUUUUCUGAAAAAAUGGCUAAUGCUCGAGUUUUCCUUCCUGAUUUGAAAUCGGGUAGAUGUUCUGAGGUUAGGUUAUUGCGUUUCUGGGAGGCAAGGAACAUCAAGCGAGGUGAUGAACUGAUGUCCGUGGAUAUGCUCCUGCUUGAUUCGAAUGUGACUUCAAGGUAUUCUCGGCUUUAAAACUCACAUAUUUAUCGACUUUUGAAAAUGCAAAAGACUAUGUUCAUAUUUAUGAGAUCUUUUUUGUUUCCUUUGUUAAUUUCGUUUCACUGUGUUCCUGUAUUGCAGCCAACAAACACUCACGUUUUCUAGGUAACUCUAUUAUUAUUAUUAUUAUUUAUUUUUUUGGGCUUAAACUCACUCAUCAUUCAAAUCAGUAUUAUUUUUUCAAAUAUUCAUCUUAGGCCAUAUAUAACUGGUGAGCUAACAGCUGUAAAGAGUCAUGUAAACGAUCGUCCAAAAGACAAAAUCCGUGUUAUGGCAACCAUAAAAAUAGAUAGUGACGUGUCUCUCACCUUGAGUGUGUUCCCACUAUCAAGUUGUGUCAUUUCACAAAAACUUGAAAGCUUUAGGGUGGAUACACGAGUUUUUGUUGCAACAAACUAUAAUCUCAAGAUUGUGGGAGGAAGAUUUUUCUAAAUGCCACAUCAGGAACUCGCUAUGACAAGGAGACUGAUGCAAGAGAGAGUUAUUUUUACAAUUUCUUCACAAAUGAUACUGGGAACAUAUCAGCAGCUUCUUUGUUGAGGGGCUUUGCAAAGGUUGAGCCUAUGAAAAUAGCGGAGCUUAACCAGUUUAUCAUCACUCCUCAGCCUCAAUCCAUUAAAUUUAUUUGCACUGGAAAGGUGACCGUAUCAAGCCAGAAAAAGGAUGGUGCUACAUCUUGGACCCUGGAGAUCACAUGCUUGGGAUCAGUUUCUCUCUCAGCGAAGAUGUUUGGAGGUGGGAAUGAGAAGGAGAACAACUCUGGCAGCAAAACUUCAACUGGUCUCAUACUGAAAAAAGCUCAGACCACAUCUGCCAAGGUGAAGAGUAUGCUGGAGCUGGUCACAUUAAUACGUGUUUGAAAAUGCUUAUGAAUCAUUAUCCCUGUUCCCCCUAUUCUCUGUAGUAUUUUUCAGAAGAUAUUAUAAAUUAAGUUCAAGUAUAAUCCAAUGGUUAUUUUACUCUUGAUUCA